rnacentral:rRNA from 1 species
GACGAACGCUGGCGGCGUGCUUAACACAUGCAAGUCGAACGGAGUGGCGAACGGGUGAGUAACACUUGGGUGACCUGCCCUGCACUUCUGGAUAACCCUGGGAAACUGGGUCUAAUACAGGAUAGUGUGGGUUGGGCUCGCGGCCUAUCAGCUUGUUGGGGGGGUAAUGGCUUACCAAGGCGGCGACGGGUAGCCGGCCUGGGAGGGGGGACGGCCACAAGAGGACUGAGACAGGGCCCAGACGACUACGGUGGGCAGCAGUGGAGAAUAUGACACAAUGGGCGGAAGCCUGAGGCAGCGACGCCGCGUGGGGGAUGACGGCUUUCGGGUUGUAAACUCCUUUCACCAUCGACGCGGUAGAUGGAGAAGAAGCACCGGCUAACUACGUGCCAGCAGCCGCGGUAAUAC